rnacentral:misc_RNA from 1 species
GAUGAAGAACGUAGCGAAAUGCGAUAAGUAGUGUGAAUUGCAGAAUUCCGUGAAUCAUCGAAUCUUUGAACGCACAUUGCGCCCCCUGGUAUUCCGGGGGGCAUGCCUGUCCGAGCGUCAUUGCAACCUUCAAGCGCGGCUUGUGUGUUGGGUCUCGUCCCCCGUGGACGGGCCCGAAAGGCAGUGGCGGCGUCCCGACAUGGUGCCCGAGCGUAUGGGAAUCCUCUUCCGCUCGAAUCGGCCCAUGCGGCGCUGGUCGUAACCAAAUUUUUUACCGGUUGACCUCGGAUCAGGUAGGGAUACCCGCUGAACUUAAGCAUAUCAAUAAGCGGAGGA